ACUGAAGUCUCCGGCUGCCGCAGGCUGCGCGGGCAGCUCCCGCCGCCUCCCCCGCGCCAGCCUCGCUGGGCAGCCGCCCCUCCCGCGGGCCUGCGCGGCCCGACCCCGCGCCACCUGGCCCGAAGGGGGACUGUGCCGUACGGCACGGCACGGUGCAGGGGGCGGCCGGGCCGAGGGGCGCAGGGAGCGGCCGGGCGCCCCGCGGGCGAGGCCGGUACAGCGGGCAGCAGGGUGGCCCCGCCGCCGCCUCAGGCCCCGCUGGUGGGCACAGUUCCCACCACCCCCGCUCCGAGCCGGGCGGCCCCGCCGCGGCGCAGGUCCUUUGUAAAUAUCGGAGAGAUGCUCUGUGAAGAGAACUAGUUUCAAAAUACACAAGGUUCAGAAGAGAGUCCUGCUCUUUUUGUCCCUUCUUCACAGAAGAAAUGUCUCAGAAAUUGAGUCCAAGUUUAGAAAGAACAUAUACAUGCCAAUCUUAAUUGCAUUUUCUGUGUUAUCUUCGACUGGAUUUGAAAGUCCUGACCAGAGGAUUGCAAUAAUGAAAACAACAUCUAGGCUGCAGCUGAGAGAACAAGAGGUACAGCUGAACUCUGAGCAUCUUACCAUGUCCAGAUGAUAAAGAGGUGGUUUUCUUGAGCCAGAGCUAAACGACCUAUUCAUAAUAAAUAUUUUUCAAUUAAUUUAA